rnacentral:precursor_RNA from 10 species
CCUCCUGUAGGAAUUUGGUUUUGUACAGAUCCUUAUUCAACCUGGUUGUGGUGCCCAAUAAACCAUCAUCACAACCUCCUUGAAUGAGUGUUCUUGCAGACCACCACCGCAAUAUCAACCC